AGAGUUUGAUCCUGGCUCAGGAUGAACGCUGGCGGCGUGCUUAACACAUGCAAGUCGAACGAUCCUUCGGGAUAGUGGCGGACGGGUGAGUAACGCGUGGGAAUCUGCCCUCAGGAGGGGGAUAACGGCUGGAAACGGCCGCUAAUACCCCAUAUGCCGAGAGGUGAAAUGAAUUUCGCCUGAGGAUGAGCCCGCGUCUGAUUAGCUAGUUGGUGGGGUAAAGGCCUACCAAGGCAACGAUCAGUAGCUGGUCUGAGAGGAUGAUCAGCCACACUGGGACUGAGACACGGCCCAGACUCCUACGGGAGGCAGCAGUGGGGAAUUUUCCGCAAUGGGCGAAAGCCUGACGGAGCAACGCCGCGUGAGGGAUGAAGGCCUCUGGGCUGUAAACCUCUUUUCUCAAGGAAGAAGACCUGACGGUACUUGAGGAAUAAGCCACGGCUAAUUCCGUGCCAGCAGCCGCGGUAAUACGGGAGUGGCAAGCGUUAUCCGGAAUUAUUGGGCGUAAAGCGUCCGCAGGCGGCCUUGUAAGUCUGUUGUUAAAGCGUGGAGCUCAACUCCAUUUAAGCAAUGGAAACUACAAGGCUGGAGUGUGGUAGGGGCAGAGGGAAUUCCCGGUGUAGCGGUGAAAUGCGUAGAUAUCGGGAAGAACACCAGUGGCGAAGGCGCUCUGCUGGGCCAUAACUGACGCUCAUGGACGAAAGCCAGGGGAGCGAAAGGGAUUAGAUACCCCUGUAGUCCUGGCCGUAAACGAUGAACACUAGGUGUCGGGGGAAUCGACCCCCUCGGUGUCGUAGCCAACGCGUUAAGUGUUCCGCCUGGGGAGUACGCACGCAAGUGUGAAACUCAAAGGAAUUGACGGGGGCCCGCACAAGCGGUGGAGUAUGUGGUUUAAUUCGAUGCAACGCGAAGAACCUUACCAGGGUUUGACAUCCUGCGAACCCCUGAGAAAUCGGGGGGUGCCUUCGGGAGCGCAGAGACAGGUGGUGCAUGGCUGUCGUCAGCUCGUGUCGUGAGAUGUUGGGUUAAGUCCCGCAACGAGCGCAACCCACGUCUUUAGUUGCCAGCAUUCAGUUGGGCACUCUAGAGAGACCGCCGGUGAUAAACCGGAGGAAGGUGUGGAUGACGUCAAGUCAUCAUGCCCCUUACAUCCUGGGCUACACACGUACUACAAUGCUACGGACAAAGGGCAGCAAGCUCGCGAGAGUUAGCAAAUCCCAUAAACCGUGGCUCAGUUCAGAUCGUAGGCUGCAACUCGCCUACGUGAAGGAGGAAUCGCUAGUAAUCGCAGGUCAGCAUACUGCGGUGAAUACGUUCCCGGGCCUUGUACACACCGCCCGUCACACCAUGGAAGUUGGCCAUGCCCGAAGUCGUUACUCCAAC
rnacentral:rRNA from 1 species